rnacentral:misc_RNA from 1 species
GCAACAAACAUGUUUACCAGUGGGUCCUAAGUGUUAUGAAUGCCUUAACAAAGAGAUCUGUCCAGUUGGGAAGACAAAUAAAAAGAUAUCUUCCCCAAAGAAAAUAAAAAAAGAAGAGCUGAAAGAGGAAAUGGAAUAAAAAACUUUACACCAUGCAUUCUGUUUUUGUUCAAGUGAGGUAUCAAUGCUUGGAAUAGAGUAUUGAACCUUUUAAGUAUUGACAGGUUUUAGUACAUUCUUCAGUUCACUAAAGUAUGGGCUUACCGAUACUUUGAAAAAUGUGUUCAUUAUUGUGAGUUUUUUAUUUGAUGUUUGUUUAGAAUUUUUUAAGGUCUCUACCUCAUGUUAGUGGAUAUUUUUAUGUAGUACCUUUUUGGUACAUACCAGUGUUUUGUUAUUAAACACAAACAUGCUGAUUGUGUGGUUGUACAUUUUUCGUAUUUUAUAUAAUACACUGCCUGUUGUAAUAUAGAGGUAUUACAAAAUUCUUCAAUAAAAUUUCAAUCAU